CAGGGAGAGACGACGAACAGAACUUCUUUAUUUAGACAGUUUUUUAUUUUCCUUUUUUGUGUUUUUAGUCAGAUAGUUUAACUUGUAUUAUCCCAAGAUAUUUCAUGUAGUUGAUUUACGCAGAACACAUUAUAACUGUUUUCUUUUAUAAUCAGUUUUAUAGUAAUUUAUUUUAUUCCUUUUUUAGACAUUUGAUAUGUAAAUACAUAUUAGAAAGCCCACCAAAGUGUGACGGAUACAAUUAUUUCACCAUUUUGAGUAUUAUGUUUUGAGAAAAAAUUCCUUUGAAAUGGCCACAGCAAGAGAUCUCUACAUUUGAUAUGUAAAUACAUAUUAGAAAGCCCACCAAAGUGUGACGGAUACAAUUAUUUCACCAUUUUGAGUAUUAUGUUUUGAGAAAAAAUUCCUUUGAAAUGGCCACAGCAAGAGAUCUCUACAUUUGAUAUGUAAAUACAUAUUAGAAAGCCCACCAAAGUGUGACGGAUACAAUUAUUUCACCAUUUUGAGUAUUAUGUUUUGAGAAAAAAUUCCUUUGAAAUGGCCACAGCAAGAGAUCUCUGUGAGUAGCCAUUGAUAUUGAU